rnacentral:rRNA from 1 species
GUUGAAGAACGCAGCGAAAUGCG